rnacentral:lncRNA from 1 species
AAAAAGGGCCGAAGAAAAUGGAAAAAGUGUGUUACUACUUAAUUUUUGUUUUUGGUUGCUAAACAAUACCCCUGGGUGUAUAGAUUGCAAACAAUCUUCUAUCUGCCAGCCCAUCCAACUUCAUAGGAAAAAUUAACCAGAAUGCUGCUAAACGUAGCCUAAGCAUAUUGUGAAUUUGUAGCUAUUUCAAAUACUUAUGUUGUUUUUAUUUGGCUAUUCUCCCAUUUUUCUUCACGUGUAGGAACUGCACCUGGAAAGAAAGGAACAAAGAAAUGUAAAACUGAUUGAAACGGCUGAAGAUGUCAAACUCCAGAAGCAAGAAACUGACGCUGGACGAUCAAAUCAUUACAAUGAUGAUAUUAGGGGACAAUAUAGUGUAUGGAGGAGAGAAUACGGCAAUAUUCUCCCAGAUACGACUUUAAAACUCAUGAAGGGUCAAAUCAUAAUGGCUAAAGUCUACGCUAGCAUCGCCGAGAAGAGAAAUUUAACGGAUAUUGCUGGUAAAUUGAAAAAUCACAUUGCAUCAAGUGAAAAAGCUACCAAGGAUGUAAAUUCUGAUGAUAAACUGCCAGAAGGGUACACCCUCUCCUAUUUAUCAGUGUAAUUUUCUUCCUUCCCUAAAAUAUUUGUUAUGUGCUGAAAUAACUUGUCUAAAUGCUAUGUAGUGCACAUCGACAUGCAGAAGAGAUGGGCAAAGCUUUAUCUGCGGCAAAAGAGGUGCUAUAUGACUGUGCCGUUAUUGCAAAAAAACUACGGGCCAUGGUUCCAUCUGUUGAAAGAAGUAUAACUGCGCAGAAGGAGAAAGGCAUGUAUUUGUUGCAAUAUGCUUCAAAGACAAUCCCUGCAGCACUGCACUGCCUUGCUUUACAUCUCACAACAGAUUACUUCUCACAAGGUCAUAGUAAUAGGAGCACAAGUUCAUCAAACCGAAAAAGACUUGAAGACACCUCUCUCUACCAUUAUGCAAUAUUCUCGGAUAACAUACUUGCAACAUCAGUGGUCAUCAACUCCACUGUAGUAAAUUCCAAGGAGCCGGAGAAACACGUGUUCCAUAUAGUCACUGACAAGCUGAACUUUGCAGCUAUGAAGAUGUGGUUCAUAGCCCAUCCUCCACCGAAAACCACAAUUGAUGUGCAGAGUCACAAUGCUUUUAAGUGGCUUAAUUCUUCUCAUUGUCUAGCUCUUGGCCGUAGUGAAUCUACUCUUUCACCUGGUGAUGCUCAUCUGAAGCAUAGGAAUCCCAGGUACCUGUCUGUGCUCAAUCAUCUCAGGUUCUAUAUGCCUGAACUGUUCCCAAACUUGGACAAGAUACUGUUACUCGAUGAUGAUGUUGUUGUUCAAAGAGAUUUGACUCCACUCUGGUCUAUGGAUAUGAAAGGGAUGGUGAAUGGAGCUGUAGAGAUCUGCGGAGGUAGCUUUCACCGAUUUGACGCAUAUCUUAACUUUUCAGACCCAAGAAUCUAUGGUAAUUUUUAUCCACAUAGUUGUAUAUGGGCAUUUGGGAUGAAUAUUUUCGACUUGAAGGCGUGGAAGAAUAAAGAUAUAAUGGGAGUAUAUCAUUAUUGGCAAGAGCAGGUACCAGACUGUAAUUAUUCAUUCAAUUUCAUAACUGCAACAAAGAUCCGUUUCCUGUAUCUUUAGUCUAGUCAUGUAAGUUAACAUGAACUACUGCAUCUUCAUCUUUUUUGAGAGUAACCAUUUUUGGCUAAUCCUAUCUAAGAGACUGGUUUCUCAUGGACAAUGAUGCAGUGAUCUUAUGCAGAGGGAAUAGGUAUAUGCAUACUAGGAUUUUUCUAAAGUGAAUAUUAGGUUAAUUGACGUUCUGAGCACCGUGCAAUAAUAAGCAUACUAUUAUUCUCUCUAUAACUGUGUACCUUCGCUUAUGAGCAUUUCCUUUCUUUAUUGUCACCAGAACAAAGAUUGUGAUCUUUGGAAGCUUGGCUCGCUGCCUGCAGGCUUGGUCACAUUCUACCAUGUGACCUACCCACUCGAAAAGCACUGGCAUCUUCAUUCCCUGGGUUACAAGCGUAACAUCAGCUCCUCGGAUAUUCAAAAGGCUGCGGUCAUCCACUACAGUGGAAGCUAUAAACCCUGGUUAGGCAGUGGCCUAGCUAUCCCCGAGUACCGGAAAUACUGGUCAAAGUAUGUACCUUUUGACAGCCGCUAUCUCCGUAGAUGCCACUUUUACCUGUGACGUUAGACCUAUAGAGAAUGAUUCACUAAAUACUCAUCAUGGUAUACUUUCCCAACACAUUCAAAUUGUUUUUGCAUGGCAUACGAAUUAGAUGAUUCGUUGCAUAUGAUUUCAAAAUAGCACGGUUCUGAUCUGAGAAUAUUUCUUGAGGAUAGCACUUUCACAUAUAACAUAGGCAUCUGACAAUGUAAUACUUCUCCUUCCAUGGUGAAUUAUAAGAUAGUAGUUUUUUGGAAAAUCACCUCACUUCCACUGUCGAUGCAUGUACAUUGACUAGAAUGUUUCGAGAUCUUAACUCACUAUUGACAUUCCCUUGUCAAAAUUUAUUGGCUGUAGUUCGUUGCUUUGAACUGGUGAUUACGAAUUUGUGGUGGCUCAUGCAUAAAUGUAAGUGGUCGCUGAGCUGGAACUUUUCAAGAUAGCCUUUUUGGACUUAGACUGCAAUUUCAUUAGAAUGGUUGAGAAGGGAUCUGUUUUCCUAGUGUUCUGAAUCCAGAUUGAGGGGUUGAAAUUUGAAUGCUUUUUAUAUCUAGCGCCACAGCUGGGGUCAGACCUGGCUGGGAACUCAAGCUGGACUAGCAGGAGUCUGAUUUCAGCAGACUACGCAUAGCUGGUAAGAUUUCCAUUAUUUCUAAUUAUCAAAUUUAAAAAUAUUAUUAAAUAUAUUAGUUUCAUUAGCUAUUAAUGAUUUAUUAUUUCAGCUUCAUUUACUCAAAAAUAAUUACUAAUAUUUAUUAAAUUUAAUAAAAUUCUUUGUAAAUUUUUUAAAAAAAUUAAUUUAACGGGUAAACUACUUUUUUGGUUCUCAAAACUAUGGGGCGCAUGAUAUUUGGUCUUCAAAUUUUAAUUUGUUAUUAUUUUUUGCUCUAGCUUUAUGGAUUGUUUGCAAUCAAAUGUCACAGCUCAAUAUAAUUGACUAAAUAUUGAUGUGUUUAGGGUUUAGUGUCACUAAUAUGAAAGUGGUUAGGAGUGUUGUGAUUCAUGAUGUCCUAGUACUUAAAGAUGCUACAUCACUUCCAUAUUAGCGAUAUGUUAAUUUUUUUAAUCAAAAAAGUUCAAAUAAGAAUUUAUUUUAAAUUAAAGUUUGAGAUCAAAGUGUCAUGCAUCUUAUAAUUUGAGGACUAAAAGAGUAACUUGAACUAAUUUAAUUAAGUUAAGCGGAACUUUCCUAAUAUGAUAUUGCUUUCUUAUUGGUGUUAACUGUCAUGUUGGUGAAAAAGUUUAGAAUGCAGCAGUCACAUUAUUAAUGUGAUAUUCUCAAACAAUCAAAUUGUCACAUUACUAAUGUGGUGUUCUCAACUAAUCAUAUUGCUUUUCUAGAGUUCAUUCAUUUUAUCAUGAUUUAAAAAAAAAAAAAAUUUCAAAAGAAGAGAUAUGAUUGGUUAGAUAUAUAGAUGACGCGUGUAUCUGUAACAUGAUAGACUUCUUCAUUAGCGCUGAGCCAAUUUUGGCUGGUUUUUUGGGUCCGAUGGGCCUAGUAACUAAUUGUAUUCCCGAACUAACCCAAAACAUCCAGCCCUUUAAUAUUUGGAGCCAUAUGAAGUUCUGAAUUGGAGAACAUUGUUUUUUAAAAAAAAGGCAAAAAAUGUUUAGAGACCUCAACUACAGCCCAUUUGGAUGUAAAUCCCUCAAUAAUUUUUAUUUUUCUUUUUUUCACUCCUCAACUUCAACUUUAAAAUUGAUGCUUAAAUGUUAACAAAAUUGGCAAUUUUAUUGUUUAAAAAAGAUUAAAAAUAGUUAAAUUUAACGAAUUAGAUAAUUGAAUCUACUAAAAUUUAAUCAAACGGAUAGUAAUCAGAUCUGAUGAUCCUAUUUGUAAGUACCAAAAAUCAAAUCUUGUGAUUUGUGAUAAUGUCACUGCUACCAAAAAUGUAAAUGCUAUACCCGAGAAAAUAAAUAAUAUUUCUCAAAAGAAAAAUGAAAAAGGUAAAGAAAAAUGAAAAGGUAAAAAGAAAAAGGAAAAUGAUGAGCCAGUAAGGGUCCCCCAUUUUGACCAAGAGGAUAAAAGUUGAGACAUGUAUUUUGACCGAAUUGUGUACUUCAGAAUCCAAAAUCCCUUUGAAGGUCCUCCGAUGUACGAGGGUUGGAGAGUGCAUUCAACAUUUGCCUUUCCGGAAACUAUUGACACAGUUCUUCUUAAUUUCGUAGACCCCAUUUCUGAGACCAUCACCUUUGUUAGAUGGGACGUAUGGUUUCAGAAAAUUGGUAUAUGUAUAGAAAAAAAAAAAAUUUGCUGAGAAGGUUAAGAAUACAAGAUUAAUGAUCUCGUGUUUUCCAUGUUGAAUUAUUAUGUAUGAUGAUUAUAAUAUUAAUAGCUUAGAAUUUUAAAGAUAAAAUAGAAGAGCUACCUGAGUAUGAAACUCAGGAGGUGUUGAGAGUCAUGACAGCUAGCCGUUAGAUGGUGUGGUUAAUUCAAUGGUAUAUACAAUUGAAUUUUUCAAAUCCAAUCACGUGAAAUCCCAACUUCUCAGAAAUCAAUAAUCUCAUUCCGUUGAGAUUAUUUGUUAGAAAUCUACACCUUAAUAGUUUUACACCGAAUAAUUAAUGAAAAAAUAAAAACUCAUAUUAAUUGCUUCAUAUCUAAUAAGUUUAAACUUUUGAUUGAAUGAGUUUUAGUACUCUAUAAUUUAUUACAUAUUUUAGCAUGUAUGGCUGCAGAGUGACUUCGAACGAGAAGCGAAAAUCUUAAAAAAUUGGAUAGCCAAUUUAUUCAUAACUUCUAUACGAAUUAAAAAUAAAUGAAAAAAAAAAGAAACAAAAUCCCUUACGUAGAAGUAGAAGACGCCUUUUUUUUCUUUAAUAAGAGCCAUGCAGUGUUUCUUUGGACAUCCAAUAAUAUCCAACAUUGAAACUUGGGGUUGCAUGUAUGUGCCUUACGUUACGUGCCCCAUAACCUUUACCGAUUACCGAGGGUGGGCCUUCAAUUGCCCCACACUCCCCUCCCACACUCUGUCUCAUGAUCUCAUCUCCCACUAAGCUUCUUCCAGGUGCUUAUAUUUUUAGAUGGAUUCCCUCCUACCAAUCAAUAAACAGGUGUUUUCCUUUUAUACACCCCACAAAAACUUGGAAAUCCUUCCUCUAUCCACAUCUCCAAUCACCUCCACAUUAUGAAUAGUACAUACCCCUGCUUGAUAUUUUAGAAAUUAUUUUAGUUAAAAUGUUGCGAGAAUUGAAAGUAAUUAUGCUAUAAAUAGUACACUAUGUAGUUCGCGACCGAUGUGGUGGAUGAGGCCCAGGUGUAAUCCCAACUAUCAUUAGCGUCUUUCCUCCUGUUAACCAUCCCAGGUCACGGCUAACUAAUACCUACAUACCAAAUUGAAAGCUCAAAAACGCAACCACGUGUUGGCUUUUGCUUGUCCAAUUAUCUUUCUUAAAUGCAUCGUAAUCAUAAUAAAUAUUAUUAGAUAGGAAAUGUUGUAGUAAUAUAAUUAGGGCCCGUUUAGCCUAGAUUUUGAAAAAAUAAUUUAUACAGAAUUGAUUUUGGUUUCGAAAAGUAAUUUUGGUUAAAAGUUGUAUAGCGUUUUGGCUAAGUUUAAAUAAAAGUAAUUUUUUUGAAGUUAUUUUGUAAAACCGUUUGCCAAAUUUUUUUGAUUUUUGCAUAAAUUAAUAUUUUUAUUAAAUUUUAUUUUAAAAUAAUUUAAAUUUUAAAUUUUAAUUUGAAUUAAAAUUAAAAUGUUUAAAUUUCAAAAUUGUACGAAAUUUAAAAUUUUAUAUUUUUAUUUAAAAAAUAAAUUUAAAAUUUAAAAUUUAAAAUUUUAAUUUUUAAUCUAAAUUUAAAUUUAAAAAUUAAAAAUUUUAAAUUUAAAAAUUCAAAUAUGAAUUUAAAAUCUUAAAAUUAGAAUUAAAUUUAAAUUUAAACUUUGAAUCUAAAAUUAAAAUAAAAAUUUAAAGUUUGAGUCCAAAAUUAGAAUUAGAUUUCAAGAAGCAGUUUUUUUCUGCUUCUGAUUCAGGGCCUUCAAAAUUAAUUUUCUGAUUCUGAAAAAUAGAAUUAGAUUUUUCUAGCACUCGUUAACAAACACUCUACUGAGCCCAAAAUUAUUUUUAGGCCAAGAAUCACUUUUCAGAAGCAGAGCUGAACACUCCCUUAAAGCGCUAUUAGAGGUUCCGAAGAAUGUUAUCUCUAUAUAAUGUUGAUACGUUAACUCUUAUAAUAAAUACAUGAAAUUCAAAGCAUUUCAAAAAAAAAAAAAUCUGAAAAUGCCACGCUAUAAAGGCUACUAAUAUUUUACAAAAUUCAAAUACAGUAUUAAUAUAUUGGUACGCUUAUGUAACAUUUUUGGACCGCGUAAAUAAGCUAAUUAAAUAUUUUUAUACUGUAAUAAUAUACAUAUAAAUAAUAUUAUUGAGAGAGAACUGUAGCUAAUAAGAUUAAGCGUCCCAUCAUUACUCCUACAAGCAAUCAUUAUAUAAGCCCUAAAAGAGAAAAAUUUUAAAAUGCAACGGGUAUAUUGGUGACGUGGCAUAACAAAUCAAUCAAAUAUCUUCUUUUAGGAGUAUAUGUCCCAUCAUGAUUGUAAAAAAAUAUUUUAAUUAUACUUUUGUUUAAAAAAAGAAAAUGUGAUUGAUUUAUUAUUGAUGACGUGGUGCAAGUGUGAUAGUGUAGGAUUCCUCUCUAAAAGGUGUCUAGACGCGUCAUCGGGGUUUUUUUGCAAAUAGCCUCCUGACAAAUUUUAUUUGCAAAAAUAGCCCCGUCCAAAAAUUAUUUGCAAAAAUGGCCCUGUCUUUGCCACGCCAGCGCUACGUUAGCGCCACGCGGGCAGGACGGGCCCAGAUGUUUAAGUUGAACACGGUGAACCAUUCAUCGUGUUCAAUACAAGAUUUUUGUAUUGGACACGGUGAAUGGUUCACCGUGUCCAAUACAAAUACCCCAACAAUGGGUAAGUUCGAGGUAUUUGUAUUAGAUACGGUGAACCAUUCACCGUAUCCAAUUAUUUGUAUUGGACACGGUGAAUGGUCACCGUGUCCAAUACAAACAGCUAUUUUGUAUUGGACACGAUGAAUCAUUCACCGUGUUCAAUACAAAAACUUUGUAUUGAACACGAUGAAUGGUUCACCGUGUUCAACUUAAUCAUCUGGCCCAGCCCAGCCCGCGUGGCGCUGACGUGGCACUUGCGUGGCGGGGCCAGGACCAUUUUUGGAAAUAAAUUUUUGGCAGGGCCAAAUUUAAAAUUUUUUUUUGUAAGGAGACUAUUUGUAAAAAAAGCCCCGCAUCAUCGCUUUCACUUGUGGAGUGUUAGCAGUGCAUAUUGCCCGAUUCUCGAUGCUAUGCUCUUUACUGCAUUUAGAUUUAUGAUUCUUUAUGAAAAGGAUAGGAUUACCUUUGGAUAAAGACACUUUCAUAUUGCCUUUUGGUGCAACUUAACAAAUAGCUCUUCUAUACACUAUAGUAGGCAUCUGACACUAAAAAAAGAAAAAAAAGAAAAAAAAAUGGAACACGUGAUUACUAUUAAAGAAAUAAAAGCACCUUUCAUUUCUAUUAAAAUUUAAAAGUAGACUAUUAUUGUGUUCAUGGUUUCUUUGGUCCAGGUCAAAUCCUUCCGAGCACGGGCACUUAUCAAGAUCAUGCACAUGCUGUGUUGGUGUGCUGUUGCUGUUGUUAUUAUUAUUAUUAUUAUUAUUAUAUAGUUGAUGAUAUAUUAGUUUCAUUUGGUGCUUUUGUUUAGUGUAAAGUGCAUUGAAUUUGAGCUACUUUUUAGAACCUAGUAAUUUUAGACUAAUUUUGAUAUCAUAUUACUUAAAAGAAUCAGUAUAUUAUAUGUGUGAAAAUUAGAAAUAUUUUAUUUUACGGUGCCGAUCAGAAAGAAAAAAUUAAGCUAACAGUGAAUUAUGUCUAUUAAACGGGCUUAGGCCUAGUCCAAAAGCUUAAGCUAAUAGUGCGUUUAUAUCAACCGACCGUUCCUAGCGCAAGUGGCAAAAGAUUUGGUAGUUGAUAGCUGAGGUCCAAAGUUCGAAUCUUAGUUGAUUCAUAUUUCCAGCUAAAUUUAUCUCUAAAUGAAAUAAACAAAGCGGGUAGCAUACUAUCUAUUUCUCUUUCAAAAAAAAGUCCAUUUAUAUCCGAUACGGGACUAUCAUUCCUAACAGCCCAUUUGGCAUGCGCUGGACGCUGCUAGCUCGUCCUACAAAUCUUGUGCCAUCACACAAAAUCCAUGUAUUAAUCUGCAACUAAUAUAUGAGAUAAAUUCAAUCGCACACAUAUUAGGCGCAAUUAGAAUGAGAUACAAAUAACUGCACAUGUUAGGUACAACUAGCACGUAAUAACUGUACCAGCCAAAAAUUUAAGGAGUGUAAAUCAAAUUGUGAUACACCGUGCUAAAAAGGCUCGGGCUCAGACUCAAUUUCAAAGCUUAAGUUAUUAGAUGAAGACCCGUGUAAAAUAUAAAAUUAAAUCUCAGCAUGUAUGUAAGGCAAAUAGUUUAUCCACCAAAAAGCAACUGCUUGGGUUGGAUUCGAGCCAUUUUAGCAAUUUCAACACUCUUCAAGCCAAUUUUGCUAAUUUAGGAUACAAUCAUGAGAACGGCAUGUUACAAUUUUAUAUGGGAAAUAUAAAGUGAGCUUUCUCUAUCUAAAGAGAAUAUUACUUAACUCGGGAUUUCAUAAAAAUAAAAGGGUUUUUUUUUGUAUUUUGCUCUCUUAAUUUUUUUUUUAUAAAUAGUCCUAAUAAAUUUAUAUUUUAUAAAUAAUUCUCUCCUUAAUACGUGAGCGUCUAAAUGGCAUUUUUUAGUUGAACACGGUGAUUCAAUCACUGCCGUUUAAAUACGGUAAUUGAAUCGCCUUUUUUUUUGUAUUUCUAAGUUAAAAAGAAUGGGCUAAAGUGUGAAUACGAUACCGUGUUUAAUAUAAAUUUGGCAAGAUUUUUUUUUUUUUUUUGAGGGAUAUUAAAUUUAAAAAGAACUCUAAAAAAACAAAAAAAGAAUUGGAAUAUUUUUAUUUGGCCUUAAAUUGGGAGCGGCGGAAACACGGCACAGUGUACGCCCAGUGGGCGUGGAGUGAGGCGUAUGAUUCCGCCCAAUGGGUCCGCAUUCCGCAAUCAUGGCCCCCCUCCACUUCCCCUUGUGUGACACAUGAUUGCUCCCACCAAAUAAACCCCCUUUUUAUUAUUAUUUAUUUGUAUUAUUAUUAUUAUUAUUAUUAUUAUUUUAUAUAUUAUAUAUUAUUAUUAUUAUUAUUAUUAUUAUUGCGCAAUCUUAAUCAUGGUUUAAUUAUCCUCCCAUUUGUAUGGACCACGGUUGAAAGGGUGUUUGAGAGUGGUUAGGAUAAAUUCCCAUACAAUCCGGUACCGCGUUUGAUAGGAUGUGGCUAUGAACAUCAAAAUUUAGUAUUCGAUAUAUAUAUUUGUAUUUGAACUCGUAUUCGUAAAAAGUAAAAAAUUAGAUGCAAAUAUAGGUUUUUAAAAAAAUUCGACUAUAUUCGAUCAUUUUCACUUUUAGGAAAUACAAAUUUAAAUAUAACAUCAAAUAUCCAUAUAUAUAUAUAUAUAUAUAUAUAUAUAAUGCAAAAUUAACUUAGGUUUGAAUUAGAUUCAAAUUCGUAUUAGAUACAAACAAAUUUUAUAUCUGAAUUCAAAUCCAUCAAAUAUUUGCUUUUUUUUUAUCCAUAUUCGAAAUUAUAUCCGUUUAACAUCACAUGCACACAUAUUGCGUCUAGUUAAUUAAGAAAGUAGAAUUCGUCAAUAUACACCUAAGGUGCGUAUAAAGCGUGAAAGGAGAUUAAGAAAUAAUAUAAUAUAUUAUUUUAUUCAUAGGAAAUGGUUAGUCAACAUGAACAAAAUCUCGCCUGAACCAAGUUUUUUUUUUUUUUUUCUUAAAAAGAAAUAUAGCAUGCUAUUUACUUUAUUUAUUUUUUAAAAGAUAAACUCAAUUUGAAAUAUGAAGUAAUUAUAUUUUAAACUCGGAACCUUAAAUACCAACCAACAAUUUUUUUGUCGCUUGCGUUAGGAACGGUUGGACAAAGUUGAACAGCAAAAUUGUGUAUUUAAUUGAUAGCUUUACAACUUAGCGCUUCACAAUUCUUGCAUAUUUUCUUCUAUAUCAGAUAUAUGCACUAGGAAUUGCGAAAGAUUUUGUGACCUUGUCCAUAAUAGGCUAUUUUAGGCAGAGAGGAUAAGAUUUUUCUUUUUCUUAUUUUCUUUUAAGGAAAAAAAAAAGAGGAGAGGAUAAGAUCUUAGAAAGGGAACAAAUAAUUUCCAUUUACAUAUAAUACUUAAAAAAAUUGAUAAUGGGCAUGUUUGUAUGUUUUGGGUAAGAUAUAAUGAGAAGGUAAAAAGGUAUAAAACUUAUUAAAAUUAUGGACCAUUUUACAUUACUUAUUUAAUUUUUUAAAUUUUUUUUUUUUACCAUUCAAAUUUUUAACUCGUCUGAUUUGAGUCAGUCAACCGUACUUUAAUUUCAAAUUAAGCUUCUUUUUUUUAUUUUAAUAAAUUUAUAAUUAUAAAAUUAUAUGAAGCAUCCUAAUUAAAUCUAUAAAGAUAAACGAUAUUUAAAUUUUGAAGUUGAAAGUAUGGUUGUUGACCUCAAAUCAAACAAAUUAAAAAAUUGAAUAGUAGAAUUAAUUUUUUAAAAGGUAAGGUAAUAGAAUGAAAAUGAUUUAUAGUUCAGAUAAAUUUUAUGUGUUUUUAUAUGAAAAAAAUAUCAAACAAAGUUUGAAUAUAUAUUUUUUAAAAAAAUUUAAUAGUAUAAAG